AAUUUAUAGUUUCGACAGCGGUCAACCGUGAUGUAUUAAAUGUUAAAGUUUCGAGCGAUGCUGAUAAGAGAAUAUUAAAGGUGUUUAAAGCCAUCACUUCACAGAGAGCAAGUCCUGUUCAUAAGACAUAAGCAUUUAUAGCAAUUCUCUCCUGGCACAAAAUUAUUAGCUACAAAAUCAUGAAGAAAAAAUCUAUUUGUCGUCGAUGAAUUUAUGAAAACGAACACGCUCGUGAGUUGUGAAAGAGGCGCUGCUAACAGACAGCAAUCCAACGAAGACACCACAGUCAAUAUCUCUAGAGCUUCGUGAACCAAGUUCGUAAAUAACUUUAAUGUUCAACCGUAAAUCGUGGCCUUUAAGUUCUUUUGAAUGCAAAACUCAAAGAAACGCCUCUCAAUAAUACAUCCGCCGUGUUUGUAUCAAUUUUAGCAUAAAUUAGCAUAUUUUUUUCAUUUUGAACCAAUCAGAUUUCUCGUCCUCUGAGAGAACGAGUAAAUACGGCAAAGCAUGGGGUUUCGUGCAGGGUCUACUUUCUCUGAGAGCCGUUACGCAGGCUAGAGGGACUUUUUUCACAUGAGUCCGUAGCGAGAAGCGAACCUACGAUCUCAGAUGUGAAGGGCGCGUGCUCUGAUGACGCCCACAGUAUCUACCACAAAUAUGUAUACUGUAUGCAUGCAGUACUUGUGGAUAUUCUUGUUUUUGCUGAUACUUUUGCCUGUUAUGGUUAUUAGACUAAUUUAUGCAUGAAAAUGACUGUACUGAACCCUGC